GGCAACGCCCGAAGUCAUUACCCCAACUUUCGAGAGGGGGAUGCCUAAGGCAGUGCUGGUGACUGGGGUGAAGUCGUAACAAGGUAGCCGUACCGGAAGGUGUGGCUGGAUCACCUCCUUUUAGGGAGACCUACCCAACUUGAGACUCGAAAGCAAAAAGCGAAUAGAGAACAAGAUGGUCAACCUAGGUCGGUCGAGAUUGGUAAAAGCUUUCAAAGUAUUUGAUGGUUCAGUUUAAAAUUCAACCAAAGAAUAAAAAGGAAGAACAGCACCUAACGGAUAGAAGAAGUUAGAAUGCUGGGAUAAAUCCUAGCCAGAACCUUGAAAACUGCAUAGAAACGCGAAAAAAGCAGGCAGUCAAAAAGUCAAAAGUGGAAAG
rnacentral:misc_RNA from 1 species